GCAUGGUAAUGGAUUUAUGGCGGGUCCUUCUGUGUGGGCCUCUCAUAGUGUGCCCAUGCCAGAGUGAACUGCAGCCUCGAACUGUUGCCCAGCCCCCUUACAGUGAACUGUGAGCUCAUUGAGUGAGGUCGUACGGUU
ensembl:snoRNA